rnacentral:rRNA from 1 species
CGUAGGGUGCGAGCGUUAAUCGGAAUUACUGGGCGUAAAGUGUGCGCAGGCGGCCGCGCAAGUCGAGUGUGAAAGCCCCGAGCUUAACUUGGGAAUUGCGCUCGAAACUACGUGGCUGGAGUGUGGCAGAGGAAGGUGGAAUUCCAGGUGUAGCGGUGAAAUGCGUAGAGAUCUGGAGGAACACCGAUGGCGAAGGCAGCCUUCUGGGCCAACACUGACGCUCAUGCACGAAAGCGUGGGGAGCAAACAGGAUUAGAUACCCUGGUAGUCCACGCCCUAAACGAUGAUGACUAGUUGUUGGAGGAGUUAAAUCCUUUAGUAACGCAGCUAACGCGUGAAGUCAUCCGCCUGGGGAGUACGGUCGCAAGAUUA